rnacentral:lncRNA from 1 species
GUCUAAAAAACACACUGUCUUUUCUUUUCGUGUGUAACAGCCAAGAUGAUCUGCUUUACACUUACAAUUCGUGUUGACUAAAUCCGAGCAAGUCUCCUUCCAGUUCCACCAUAAGUAACACACUGCAGGUACAGCUCAAAUCUUGCUCUAUUUCUUUUUUGUGUUGGCUCGAUCAGGUUUCUCCCAAAUCUAGUUGAUCGGAUAUCAUCAUGCUAUCUUGUUCCUUUCAGUAUGUGCCCACGUAUAUUAAAGCUGCACCUGAUUAUAUAUAGGCAUAGCAUGGGCUCAGACUUUUAAGCAUGCCACAUCUGGUUCUGUUUAUGUAGCCACCAUGUUACAUGUUCUGUACUUACAGUUCCUGGCGAUGUAUUCAAGCCUGUGAACACAUAUAUUUACACGUACCCCUGUUUAUAUCAAGGCCUCCCUGGUAGGUUCUUUUUAUAUGCUGCAUAGCAUGGAUUCGUCAUGUGAUUAUUAGUUAUUUUUAACCAAUGCUAGACCUAGCAUGUGUACACUCUAAUCUCUAAUGAUGUUUGUCUUUGUGUUCAGGAGCUCCAGGUCUACAAAAUGAAGUUCGAAACCAUAUAGCUCUACUCAGCAAAGAGUCGUCUCUUCUAUUUGAUUGUAAUAGAAUGUAAAUAUUGUAAUAUUGUAAUAGUAGGCAUAUCUGGGUUGUAAUAACUAUGUACAGAUUGUAGUAGACUUAGUU